AUUGAACGCUGGCGGCAGGCCUAACACAUGCAAGUCGAGCGGAUGAAGGGAGCUUGCUCCUGGAUUCAGCGGCGGACGGGUGAGUAAUGCCUAGGAAUCUGCCUGGUAGUGGGGGAUAACGUCCGGAAACGGGCGCUAAUACCGCAUACGUCCUGAGGGAGAAAGUGGGGGAUCUUCGGACCUCACGCUAUCAGAUGAGCCUAGGUCGGAUUAGCUAGUUGGUGGGGUAAAGGCCUACCAAGGCGACGAUCCGUAACUGGUCUGAGAGGAUGAUCAGUCACACUGGAACUGAGACACGGUCCAGACUCCUACGGGAGGCAGCAGUGGUGAAUAUUGGACAAUGGGCGAAAGCCUGAUCCAGCCAUGCCGCGUGUGUGAAGAAGGUCUUCGGAUUGUAAAGCACUUUAAGUUGGGAGGAAGGGCAGUAAGUUAAUACCUUGCUGUUUUGACGUUACCAACAGAAUAAGCACCGGCUAACUUCGU
rnacentral:rRNA from 1 species